rnacentral:rRNA from 1 species
AAAGGAAUUGACGGGGGCCCGCACAAGCAGCGGAGCAUGUGGUUUAAUUCGAAGCAACGCGAAGAACCUUACCAGGUCUUGACAUCCAGCAAAAGCUGUGGAAACACGGUGUGCCUUCGGGCAUGCUGAGACAGGUGGUGCAUGGUUGUCGUCAGCUCGUGUCGUGAGAUGUUGGGUUAAGUCCCGCAACGAGCGCAACCCUUGUUCAUAGUUACUAACGCGUAGAGGCGAGGACUUUAUGGAGACCGCCGGGGACAACUCGGAGGAAGGUGGGGACGACGUCAAAUCAUCAUGCCCCUUAUGAUCUGGGCUACACACGUGCUACAAUGGCCGAGACAGAGAGGUGCUAAGGGGUAACCUGGAGCAGAUCUCAAAAAAGCGGUCGAAGUUCGGAUUGUGGGCUGCAACCCGCCCACAUGAAGCCGGAGUUGCUAGUAAUCGCGGAUCAGCAUGCCGCGGUGAAUACGUUCCCGGGCCUUGCACACACCGCCCGU